rnacentral:rRNA from 1 species
AACGAACGCUGGCGGCAGGCCUAACACAUGCAAGUCGAGCGCGCCCUUCGGGGUUAGCGGCGGACGGGUGGGUAACGCGUGGGAACGUGCCCUUCUCUGCGGAAUAGCCUCGGUAAACUGAGAGUAAUACCGCAUACGCCCUUUCGGGGAAAGAUCUAUUGGAGAAGGAUCGGCCCGCGUUGGAUUAGGUAGUUGGUGGGGUAAUGGCCCGCCAAGCCGACGAUCCAUAGCUGGUUUGAGAGGAUGAUCAGCCACGCUGGGGCUGAGACACGGCCCAGAAUCCUACGGGAGGGAGCAGUGGGGAAUCUUAGACAAUGGGGGCAACCCUGAUCUAGCCAUGCCGGGUGAGUGAUGAAGGCCUUAGGGUUGUAAAGCUCUUUCAGCUGGGAAGAUAAUGACGGUACCAGCAGAAGAAGCCCCGGCUAACUACGUG